AAUAGAUACCCGGGUAGUCCUAGCUGUAAACGAUGAGCACUGGGUUGAGGGGACUUCCACAUCCUCUCGGCCGUAGCGAAAGCGUUAAGUGCUCCGCCUGGGGAGUAUGGCCGCAAGGCUGAAACUCAAAGGAAUUGACGGGGGCUCACACAAGCGGUGGAGGAUGUGGCUUAAUUCGAGGCUACGCGAAGAACCUUAUCCUAGAUUUGACAUGGUUGAGAAUCUCCUUGAAAGAGGAGAGUGCCCUUCGGGGAGCUCUUUCACAGGUGCUGCAUGGCUGUCGUCAGCUCGUGUCGUGAGAUGUUGGGUUAAGUCCCUUAACGAGCGAAACCCUUAUCUUUAGUUGCCAGCGGGUAAAGCCGGGGACUCUAAAGAGACUGCCGGUGUCAAACCGGAGGAAGGUGGGGAUGACGUCAAGUCCUCAUGGCCUUUAUGUCUAGGGCUGCACACGUCCUACAAUGGCACGUACAAAGGGAAGCCAAGCCGCGAGGCCGCGCUAAUCCCAAAAAGCGUGCCCCAGUUCGGAUUGCAGGCUGCUAAC
rnacentral:rRNA from 1 species